UUUUUUCUUUCUCGUCAGAUGAACGCGGGCGGCGUGCCUAAUACAUGCAAGUCGAGCGAACAGACGGGGAGCUUGCUCCCCCGACGUAGCGGCGGACGGGUGAGUAACACGUGGGUAACCUACCUAUAAGACUGGAAUAACUCCGGGAAACCGGGGCUAAUGCCGGAUAACAUGUUGGACCGCAUGGUCCUACAGUGAAAGACGGUCUUGCUGUCACUUAUAGAUGGACCCGCGCCGUAUUAGCUAGUUGGUAAGGUAACGGCUUACCAAGGCAACGAUACGUAGCCGACCUGAGAGGGUGAUCGGCCACACUGGAACUGAGACACGGUCCAGACUCCUACGGGAGGCAGCAGUAGGGAAUCUUCCGCAAUGGGCGAAAGCCUGACGGAGCAACGCCGCGUGAGUGAUGAAGGCCUUCGGGUCGUAAAACUCUGUUAUUAGGGAAGAACAAAUGUGUAAGUAACUAUGCACGUCUUGACGGUACCUAAUCAGAAAGCCACGGCUAACUACGUGCCAGCAGCCGCGGUAAUACGUAGGUGGCAAGCGUUAUCCGGAAUUAUUGGGCGUAAAGCGCGCGUAGGCGGUUUCUUAAGUCUGAUGUGAAAGCCCACGGCUCAACCGUGGAGGGUCAUUGGAAACUGGGAAACUUGAGUGCAGGAGAGGAAAGUGGAAUUCCAUGUGUAGCGGUGAAAUGCGCAGAGAUAUGGAGGAACACCAGUGGCGAAGGCGACUUUCUGGUCUGCAACUGACGCUGAUGUGCGAAAGCGUGGGGAUCAAACAGGAUUAGAUACCCUGGUAGUCCACGCCGUAAACGAUGAGUGCUAAGUGUUAGGGGGUUUCCGCCCCUUAGUGCUGCAGCUAACGCAUUAAGCACUCCGCCUGGAGACUCUAGUUGG
rnacentral:rRNA from 1 species